rnacentral:rRNA from 1 species
UGGGGAAUAUUGGACAAUGGGCGGAAGCCUGAUCCAGCAACGCCGCGUGAGGGAUGACGGCCUUCGGGUUGUAAACCUCUUUCAGUACCGACGAAGCGAAAGUGACGGUAGGUACAGAAGAAGGACCGGCCAACUACGUGCCAGCAGCCGCGGUAAUACGUAGGGUCCGAGCGUUGUCCGGAAAUUAUUGGGCGUAAAGGGCUCGUAGGCGGUUUGUCGCGUCGGGAGUGAAAACAGCGGGCUUAACUCGUUGCUUGCUUUCGAUACGGGGCAGACUAGAGGUAUGCAGGGGAGAAUGGAAUUCCUGGUGUAGCGGUGAAAUGCGCAGAUAUCAGGAGGAACACCGGUGGCGAAGGCGGUUCUCUGGGCAUUACCUGACGCUGAGGAGCGAAAGUGUGGGGAGCGAACAGGAUUAGAUACCCUGGUAGUCCAUCACCGUAAACGUUGGGCG